GAGUGAAGCGGCAAGAGCUCAAAUUUGAAAUCUGGGUCCGAGUUGUAAUUUGCAGAGGAUGCUUCGGGUGCGGUCCGUCUAAGUACCCUGGAAUGGGUCGUCAUAGAGGGUGAGAAUCCCGUCUGACGGGUGGCCGUCCGUGUGAAGCUCCUUCGACGAGUCGAGUUGUUUGGGAAUGCAGCUCUAAAUGGGUGGUAAAUUUCAUCUAAAGCUAAAUAUUGGCCGGAGACCGAUAGCGCACAAGUAGAGUGAUCGAAAGAUGAAAAGCACUUUGAAAAGAGAGUUAAACAGCACGUGAAAUUGUUGAAAGGGAAGCGCUUGCGACCAGACUCGCCCGCGGGUUCAGCCGGUACUCGUACCGGUGUACUCCCGUGGCGGGCCAGCGUCGGUUUGGGCGGCCGGUCAAGGCCUCCGGAAUGUAUCGCCGGGCGUCUUAUAGCCGGGGGUAUGCGCCAGCCUGGACCGAGGAACGCGCUUCGGCUCGGACGCUGGCGUAAUGGUCGUAAGCGGCCCGUCUUGAAACACGGACCAAGGAGUCUAACAUCUACGCGAGUGUUCGGGUGUCAAACCCGUCCGCGCAGUGAAAGCGAACGGAGGUGGGAACGGUGCACCAUCGACCGAUCCUGAUGUCUUCGGAUGGAUUUGAGUAAGAGCGUAGCUGUUGGGACCCGAAAGAUGGUGAACUAU
rnacentral:rRNA from 1 species